rnacentral:rRNA from 1 species
GGUAAAGUUAUUAAGGGCGUACGGGGAAUGCCUAGGCACAUGGAGCCGAUGAAGGACGUGGUAAGCUGCGAUAAGCCUCGGGAAGGAGCAAACAUCCUUAGAUCCGGGGAUUUCCGAAUGGGGCAACCCAAAUCGAGUCAUGUCGAUUUACUCCUGUCUGAAUAUAUAGGACAGGGUGAGACAACGAGGUGAACUGACACAUCUAAGUAACCUCAGGAAGAGAAACCAAAAGGGAUUUCCUCAGUAGCGGCGAGCGAACGGGAAUGAGCCUAAACCGCCAACGUGCCAAGCUUACAGGCGUUGCGCUGGCGGGGUUGUGGGAUCGAUUCAGAGUCUGCUGUAACAGGCUCGGCAAGUCAAAAAAUCUGAUAUUAAUUGAAUGGUCUGGAAAGUCCAACCGUAGAAGGUGAUAGUCCUGUAAAUGAAAAUUGACGAUCUUGCUGGAAUCGACACCCGAGUAACACGGGACACGAGAAAUCUUGUGUGAAUCUGCCGGGACCAUCCGGUAAGGCUAAAUACUCCCAUGUGACCGAUAGUGAACUAGUACCGUGAGGGAAAGGUGAAAAGUACUCCUAACGGAGAGUGAAAUAGAACCUGAAACCGUAUACCUACAAGCGGUCGGAGCUCCACUUCGGUGGGGUGACGGCGUGCCUUUUGCAUAAUGAGCCAGCGAGUUGCUCGUACGUUGCAAGGUUAAGAAUGGACAUUCGAAGCCGAAGCGAAAGCGAGUCUGAACAGGGCGUUCAGUAGCGUGCGGCAGACCCGAAACUGAGUGAUCUAGCCAUGACCAGGAUGAAGUCCCGGUAACACGGGAUGGAGGUCCGAACCCACUUCGGUUGAAAACGGAGGGGAUGAGUUGUGGUUAGGGGUGAAAGGCCAAUCAAACUCAGAGAUAUCUGGUUCUCGCCGAAAUGCCUUUAGGGGCAGCGUUGUAUUAGUGUACCGGGGGUAGAGCACUGAAUGGGCUAGGGGGCCUACAAGCUUACCAACCCCAAUCAAACUCCGAAUACCGGAUACAUGAUGUACAGCAGUGAGGCUGCGGGCGAUAAGGUUCGUAGCCAAGAGGGAAACAACCCAGAUCAACAGCUAAGGUCCCAAAGUCAAUGCUAAGUGAAAAAGGAUGUCAAAUUGCCCAGACAGCUAGGAGGUUGGCUUAGAAGCAGCCAUCCUUUAAAGAAAGCGUAACAGCUCACUAGUCGAGGGAUUUUGCGCCGAUAAUAACCGGGACUAUAAGCAUUGCACCGAAGCUUUGAACUCAAUUUAUUGAGUGGUAGGCGAGCGUUCCAUCCACCGUUGAAGGUUGACCCGCGAGGGCAGCUGGAGGAAAUGGAAAUGAGUAUGCUGGCAUGAGUAGCGUUAAACAUAGUGAAAUUCUAUGUCACCGUAAGCCCAAGGUUUCCUGAGUAAAGUAACUCUGCUCAGGGUUAGUCGGACCCUAAGCCGAGGCCGAAAGGCGUAGGCGAUGGAAAACGGGUAAAAUAUUCCCGUACCAGCGAUUGAUUGUUUGAACUAAGGGGGGACGCAGGAGUGAAAGGUUAGCACGGUAUUGAAUGUCCGUGUCUAAGCAUGUAGGGUGAUCCGGUAGGCAAAUCCGCCGGAUCUUAUAGCCUGAGAUGUGAAUGGGAAGCGCGCCUUCGGGCAAGCCAACUAACCCUAAUCAUACUGCCAAGAAAAUCCUCUAUGUGAGAUCAAUAGCUGACCGUACCGUAAACGGACACACGUGGGCGAGGAGAGUAUCCUAAGGUGCUUGGGAGAAUCAUGGUUAAGGAACUCGGCAAAAUGGCCCCGUAACUUCGGGAGAAGGGGUGCCCUUAUUAGGUGGAGAUCUUCGCGAUCCGAGCUGAACAGGGCCGCAGUGAAGAGGCCCAAUCGACUGUUUAACAAAAACACAGGUCUAUGCUAAGUCGUAAGACGAAAUAUAUGGACUGACACCUGCCCGGUGCCGGAAGGUUAAAUGGAGAGGUUAGUACUUCGGUACGAAGCUUUGAAAUGAAGCCCCGGUAAACGGCGGCCGUAACUAUAACGGUCCUAAGGUAGCGAAAUUCCUUGUCGGGUAAGUUCCGACCUGCACGAAUGGUGUAACGAAUUGGGCACUGUCUCAACCAUGACCCCAGCGA